rnacentral:rRNA from 1 species
AUUGAACGCUGGCGGAAUGCUUUACACAUGCAAGUCGAACGGCAGCACGGACUUCGGUCUGGUGGCGAGUGGCGAACGGGUGAGUAAUACAUCGGAACGUGCCCAGUCGUGGGGGAUAACGUAGCUAAAGCUACGCUAAUACCGCAUACGAUCUACGGAUGAAAGCGGGGGAUCGCAAGACCUCGCGCGAUUGGAGCGGCCGAUGGCAGAUUAGGUAGUUGGUGGGGUAAAGGCUCACCAAGCCGACGAUCUGUAGCUGGUCUGAGAGGACGACCAGCCACACUGGGACUGAGACACGGCCCAGACGCCUACGGGAGGCAGCAGUGGGGAAUUUUGGACAAUGGGCGCAAGCCUGAUCCAGCCACUCCGCGUGCAGGAUGAAGGCCCUCGGGUUGUAAACUGCUUUUGUACGGAACGAAAAGGCUCUGGUUAAUACCCGGGGCUCAUGACGGUACCGUAAGAAUAAGCACCGGCUAACUACGUACCAGCCGCCGCAGUAACAC